GGUCGCACGGUGGGAUGCCUUGGCGACCAGGAACCGAUGAAGGACGUGGGAGGCCACGAUAGGCCCCGGGGAGGUCGUCAACCAGGCUUUGAUCCGGGGGUGUCCGAAUGGGGAAACCCGGCAGUCGUCAUGGGCUGUCACCCUUGCCUGAACACAUAGGGCAAGUGGAGGGAACGCGGGGAAGUGAAACAUCUCAGUACCCGCAGGAAGAGAAAACAACCGUGAUUCCGGGAGUAGUGGCGAGCGAAACCGGAUGAGGCCAAACCGUAUGCGUGUGAGACCCGGCAGGGGUUGCGCAUGCGGGGUUGUGGGAUCUCUCUUCUACGGUCUGCCGGCCGUAGGGCGAGUCAGAAACCGUUGAUGUAGGCGAAGGACAUGCGAAAGGUCCGGCGUAGAGGGUAAGACCCCCGUAGUCGAAACGUCAGCGGCUCGUUUGAGAGACACCCAAGUAGCACGGGGCCCGAGAAAUCCCGUGUGAAUCUGGCGGGACCACCCGCUAAGCCUAAAUAUUCCCUGGUGACCGAUAGCGGAUAGUACCGUGAGGGAAUGGUGAAAAGUACCCCGGGAGGGGACGUGAAAUAGUACCUGAAACCGUGUGCCUACAAGCCGUGGGAGCGUCGGACAUCAGCUUGCUGGUGUCUCGUGACUGCGUGCCUUUUGAAGAAUGAGCCUGCGAGUUAUGGUGUGUGGCGAGGUUAACCCGUGUGGGGGAGCCGUAGCGAAAGCGAGUCUGAAUAGGCGUUUGAGUCGCAUGGUGUAGAACGAAGCGGAGUGAUCUACGCAUGGGCAGGUUGAAGCUCAGGUAAGACUGGGUGGAGGACCGAACCCACCAGGGUUGAAAACCUGGGGGAUGACCUGUGUGUAGGGGUGAAAGGCCAAUCAAACUCCGUGAUAGCUGGUUCUCCCCGAAAUGCAUUUAGGUGCAGCGUCACGUUGUUUCUUGCCGGAGGUAGAGCACUGGAUGGCCGAUGGGCCCGACAAGGUUACUGACGUCAGCCAAACUCCGAAUGCCGGUAAGUGAGAGCGUGGCAGUGAGACUGCGGGGGAUAAGCUUCGUAGUCGAGAGGGAAACAGCCCAGAUCACCGACUAAGGCCCCUAAGCGUGUGGUAAGUGGGAAAGGAUGUGGAGUCGCAGAGACAACCAGGAGGUUGGCUUAGAAGCAGCCACCCUUGAAAGAGUGCGUAAUAGCUCACUGGUCUAGUGAUUCCGCGCCGACAAUGUAGCGGGGCUCAAGCGUACCGCCGAAGUCGUGUCAUUCACACAUGAGGGCCAACGCCUGUGUGGAUGGGUAGGGGAGCGUCGUGUGCCGGGUGAAGCAGCGCCGGAAGGCAGUUGUGGACGGUUCACGAGUGAGAAUGCAGGCAUGAGUAGCGAUUCACACGUGAGAAACGUGUGCGCCGAUUGACUAAGGGUUCCUGGGUCAAGCUGAUCUGCCCAGGGUAAGUCGGGACCUAAGGCGAGGCCGACAGGCGUAGUCGAUGGAUAACCGGUUGAUAUUCCGGUACCCGCUGUGAAGCGUCAAACAUCGAACCAGGCGAUGCUAAGUCCGUGAAGCCGCCCCGGAGCCUUCGGGCAAAGGGGAGUGGUGGAGCCGACGAACCAGACUUGCAGUAGGUGAGUGAUGGGGUGACGCAGGAAGGUAGUCCAUCCCGGGCGGUGGUUGUCCCGGGGUAAGGGUGUAGGCCGGUGUGUAGGUAAAUCCGCACACCUUGUGGCUGAGACCUGAUGCCGAGCCGAUUGUGGUGAAGUGGAUGAUCCUAUGCUGUCGAGAAAAGCCUCUAGCGAGUUUCAUGGCGGCCCGUACCCUAAACCGACUCAGGUGGUCAGGUAGAGAAUACCGAGGCGUUCGGGUGAACUAUGGUUAAGGAACUCGGCAAAAUGCCCCCCGUAACUUCGGGAGAAGGGGGGCCAUCACUGGUGAGAGCACUUGCUGCUCGAGCUGGGGGUGCCGCAGAGACCAGCGAGAAGCGACUGUUUACUAAAAAACACAGGUCCGUAGCGAAGCCGUAAGGCGAUGUAUACGGACUGACGCCUGCCCGGUGCUGGAACGUUAAGGGGACCGUUAGCUCACUUUCGGGUGGGCGAAGCUGAGAACUUAAGCGCCAGUAAACGGCGGUGGUAACUAUAACCAUCCUAAGGUAGCGAAAUUCCUUGUCGGGUAAGUUCCGACCUGCACGAAUGGCGUAACGACUUCCCCGCUGUCUCAACCGCAGACCCGGCGAAAUUGCACUACGAGUAAAGAUGCUCGUUACGCGCAGCAGGACGGAAAGACCCCGGGACCUUCACUACAGCUUGACAUUGGCGUUUGGAGCGUCUUGUGUAGGAUAGGUGGGAGACUGGGAAGCUCGGACGCUAGUUCGGGUGAGUCAUUGGUGAAAUACCACUCUGGUCGUUUUGAACGUCUAACUCUGGUCCGUGAUCCGGAUCGAGGACAGUGUCUGGUGGGUAGUUU
rnacentral:rRNA from 1 species